rnacentral:rRNA from 1 species
AUUGAACGCUGGCGGCAUGCUUUACACAUGCAAGUCGAACGGCAGCGCGGGCUUCGGCCUGGCGGCGAGUGGCGAACGGGUGUGUAAUGCAUCUUAACGUGCCCAGUAGUUGGGGAUAGCCCGGCGAAAGCCGGAUUAAUACCGCAUACGACCUUCGGUUGAACGCGGGGGACCGAAAGGCCUCUCGCUUUUUUAGCUGCCUAUGUCGGAUUAGCUAGUUGGUGGGGUAAAGGCUUACCAAGGCGACGAUCCGUAGCUGGUCUGAGAGGACGACCAGCCACACUGGGAGUGAGACACGGCCCAGACUCCGACGGGAGGCAGCAGUGGGGAAUUUUGGACAAUGGGGGCAACCCUGAUCCAGCCAUGCCGCGUGCGGGAAGAAGGCCUUCGGGUUGUAAAACGCUUUUGUUCGGGAAGAAAUCAUCUGGGCUAAUACCCCGGGGGGAUGACGGUACCGGAAGAAUAAGCACCGGCUAACUACGUG